rnacentral:rRNA from 1 species
CACGUAGGGCGCAAGCGUUGUCCGGAAUUAUUGGGCGUAAAGAGCUCGUAGGCGGACUGUCACGUCUGCUGUGAAAAGCUGGGGCUUAACCCUGGCCUUGCAGUGGAUACGGGCAGACUAGAGGUAGGUAGGGGAGAAUGGAAUUCCCGGUGUAGCGGUGAAAUGCGCAGAUAUCGGGAGGAACACCAGUGGCGAAGGCGGCGAUCUGGGAAGAUACUGACGCUGAGGUGCGAAAGCGUGGGGAGCAAACAGG